rnacentral:lncRNA from 1 species
UAGCCUCCGGUAAACAGAUAUUGGGUUUCCAUUAUAGUAUUUCGCAAUAUUGCAUCAGCCGGUUACGACUAGUUUUAUCAAUACACAUAACAUUCUUUACUGUUUUAAGUAUUAUAACGAAAAAAGUGGAAUUUAAACAACUGAAAUGUAUUCAAGAAUUCUACAAAGAUAUUAUUAGCCAGACGAAUUACAACGUGAAAAAUCCAAGACUUUAUAAAGACAACGAACGUUUAACACAAAAUAUAUCAUCGGAAGACUUCAA